rnacentral:rRNA from 1 species
AGAGUUUGAUCCUGGCUCAGAUUGAACGCUGGCGGCAGGCCUAACACAUGCAAGUCGAGCGGAUGAGUGGAGCUUGCUCCAUGAUUCAGCGGCGGACGGGUGAGUAAUGCCUAGGAAUCUGCCUGGUAGUGGGGGACAACGUUUCGAAAGGAACGCUAAUACCGCAUACGUCCUACGGGAGAAAGCAGGGGACCUUCGGGCCUUGCGCUAUCAGAUGAGCCUAGGUCGGAUUAGCUAGUUGGUGAGGUAACGGCUCACCAAGGCGACGAUCCGUAACUGGUCUGAGAGGAUGAUCAGUCACACUGGAACUGAGACACGGUCCAGACUCCUACGGGAGGCAGCAGUGGGGAAUAUUGGACAAUGGGCGAAAGCCUGAUCCAGCCAUGCCGCGUGUGUGAAGAAGGUCUUCGGAUUGUAAAGCACUUUAAGUUGGGAGGAAGGGCAGUAAGUUAAUACCUUGCUGUUUUGACGUUACCGACAGAAUAAGCACCGGCUAACUUCGUGCCAGCAGCCGCGGUAAUACGAAGGGUGCAAGCGUUAAUCGGAAUUACUGGGCGUAAAGCGCGCGUAGGUGGUUCAGCAAGUUGGAUGUGAAAGCCCCGGGCUCAACCUGGGAACUGCGUUUGAAACUACAAGACUAGAAUAUGUCAGAGGGGGGUAGAAUUCCACGUGUAGCAGUGAAAUGCGUAGAGAUGUGGAGGAAUACCAAUGGCGAAGGCAGCCCCCUGGGAUAAUAUUGACGCUCAUGCACGAAAGCGUGGGGAGCAAACAGGAUUAGAUACCCUGGUAGUCC